rnacentral:rRNA from 1 species
GACGUAGGGCGCGAGCGUUGUCCGGAUUUAUUGGGCGUAAAGAGCGUGUAGGCGGCCAGAUAGGUCCGUUGUGAAAACUCGAGGCUCAACCUCGAGACGCCGAUGGAAACCAUCUGGCUAGAGUCCGGAAGAGGAGAGUGGAAUUCCUGGUGUAGCGGUGAAAUGCGCAGAUAUCAGGAAGAACACCCGUGGCUAAGGCGGCUCUCUAGUACGGUACUGACGCUGAGACGCGAAAGCGUGGGGAGCGAACAGG